rnacentral:lncRNA from 1 species
GCGGAGACGGGCGGGCGGGCGAUUAGCGGGUGGGCCUUCCUUGGAAUUUAAUCUUUUUUCCUAUUUUUAAAAGGUGGGUGAUUAGCCGGUGGGCCUUCUUUGGAAUUAAAUAUUUUUUUUCUAUUUUUAAAACGUGAUUUCAUAUUUUCUAUAAUAAAAUUCCACAGGCGGUUCCCUAUGAAAGCCGUCUAUGGGAAUGUUUUCUACGGGCAGCUCAUAAGGAACCGCCUAUGGAAUUGGUCCAUUUCUACUGGCCUCUAGCGCAGGCGGUGUUGGAAAAAGCCAGUACAAAUAGGUUACCGACCGCCUGUAUAGUAUGGCCCUGUACUAGUGCACUCCACAACAACUUAGUCAAUAUGAUUGUCAUAUAAAGAUAUUUUCCCACGAGCAUAAGUAUAUGUAUGUGAAACAAUAUCUAUAUAAGCUUCUAUCUCAAAAUAUCAUAGACAUGUUACCUUUUAAUAUUUUAAUCGAAGUGUGGUCUUGGUUCAUUUUAAAUUGCCUAAGUAGACUACAAGGAGAUGAAUAUUGAAGCGAGUUUUGCUUUAUGUUGUACGUAGCUAGGAAACCAAACGGGCACAUGUGCUAAAGCCGGAGAAGAAACAAACUCCCGUUACUUUCCUUAUUACUUUCCAUAUUAGGGAUAGAAACUCUAAAACUAAAUAAAUAAUUACCAAGCUGUCGACUCCUUGAUCUGAUCGUAAUAAAAUAUAAAGAUAAAAUCUAAAAUAUGAAAUUUUGCCUCAUGGAAGAUCGUAAUACUCUACCUCACCCAUCCUUGAUUGUCACUCCUUGCCUAAUGGCGCGGCGUUGCCCCCAAUCUGCCUGAA